rnacentral:rRNA from 1 species
AGUGAACACUGGCGGUAGGCCUAACACAUGCCAGUCGAACGGCAGCACAGUAAGAGCUUGCUCUUACGGGUGGCGAGUGGCGGACGGGUGAGGAAUACAUCGGAAUCUACUUUUUCGUGGGGGAUAACGUAGGGAAACUUACGCUAAUACCGCAUACGACCUACGGGUGAAAGCAGGGGAUCUUCGGACCUUGCGCGAUUGAAUGAGCCGAUGUCGGAUUAGCUAGUUGGCGGGGUAAAGGCCCACCAAGGCGACGAUCCGUAGCUGGUCUGAGAGGAUGAUCAGCCACACUGGAACUGAGACACGGUCCAGACUCCUACGGGAGGCGGCAGUGGGGAAUAUUGGACAAUGGGCGCAAGCCUGAUCCAGCCAUACCGCGUGGGUGAAGAGGGCCUUCGGGUUGUAAAGCCCUUUUGUUGGGAAAGAAAAGCAGCAGGUUAAUACCCCGCUGUUCUGACGGUACCCAAAGAAUAAGCACCGGCUAACUUCGUG